rnacentral:rRNA from 1 species
GAUGAACGCUAGCGGCAGGCCUAAUACAUGCAAGUCGAACGGUGUAGCAAUACACAGUGGCGCACGGGUGCGUAACACGUAUGCAACCUACCUAUCAUUGGGGGAUAGCCUUUGGAAACGGAGAUUAAUACCGCAUAAGACAGUAGCAUGGCAUCAUGCAGCUGUUAAAGCUUUGGCGAUGAUAGAUGGGCAUGCGUCCAAUUAGUUAGUUGGUGAGGUAACGGCUCACCAAGACGAUGAUUGGUAGGGGAUCUGAGAGGAUAAUCCCCCACACUGGAACUGGGAUACGGGCCAGACUCCUACGGGAGGCAGCAGUAGGGAAUAUUGGGCAAUGGACGGAAGUCUGACCCAGCCAUGCCGCGUGCAGGAAGAAGGCGUUAUGCGUUGUAAACUGCUUUUUAUAGGAAGAAGGAGACCUUGCGAGGUUUGGUGACGGUACUAUAAGAAUAAGCACCGGCUAACUCCGUGCCAGCAGCCGCUGUAACAC